GACGAACCGUGCGAACGUUGUUCGGAAUCACUGGGCUUAAAGGGCGCGUAGGCGGGCUCGCAAGUCCGGGGUGAAAGCCCCCAGCUCAACUGGGGAAGCGCCUUGGAUACUGCGGGCCUGGAGGGAGGUAGGGGCGUGCGGAACUUCCGGUGGAGCGGUGAAAUGCGUAGAUAUCGGAAGGAACACCGGUGGCGAAGGCGGCGCGCUGGACCUCUUCUGACGCUGAGGCGCGAAAGCCAGGGGAGCAAACGGG
rnacentral:rRNA from 2 species